AUUGAACGCUGGCGGCAGGCUUAACACAUGCAAGUCGAGCGGAGUGAUGGUGCUUGCACUAUCACUUAGCGGCGGACGGGUGAGUAAUGCUUAGGAAUCUGCCAUUUAGUGGGGGACAACAUUCAGAAAGGAAUGCUAAUAACGCAUACGUCCUACGGGAGAAGGCAGGGGAUCUUCGGAACUCACGCUAAAUGAUGAGCCUAAGUCGGAUUAGCUAGUUGGUGGGGUAAAGGCCUACCAAGGCGACGAUCUGUAGCGGGUCUGAGAGGAUGAUCCGCCACACUGGGACUGAGACACGGCCAAGACUCCUACGGGAGGCAGCAGUGGGGAAUAUUGGACAAUGGGCGGAAGCCUGAUCCAGCCAUGCCGCGUGUGUGAAGAAGGCCUUUUGGUUGUAAAGCACUUUAAGCGAGGAGGAGGCUACUAGUACUAAUACUACUGGAUAGUGGACGUUACUCGCAGAAUAAGCACCGGCUAACUCUGUGCCAGCCGCCGCGGUAACAC
rnacentral:rRNA from 1 species